rnacentral:rRNA from 1 species
AUGGCGUCCGACGGCUGCGGCGGCUCGUGGCCGACGAGCCUGAGCACGCCGGAGACCGACGAGCUCAUCCGUCUCGGGAUGAUGGUGCCGCCGGGCUGCCGUCUGCCGCACGCGUUCCACAUCAUCGCCGACAGGUACCCGACGAGGGGGCCCGGCGCGUCGCCGGAUGAGCUCCGCCGGCACGAGGGCGGCCGGUGGAACAUCGUCGGCCGCGCUAGGUUUUGGAAAUGCAAAGAUUACUGGACCGUCGUCGCGCAGGCUCGUCGGGAGUCGCGGACCGGUGGCUCGUCGUCUGCCCCGCGCGGCUCGUCUUCCGCCCCGCGCGGCUCGUCUUCCGCCCCGCGUCGGCCCCGCCGUCCCCCUCCAGCGGCCGCGCCGUCUCCAAGCUCGUUCCGCCGUCCGGUUCCCACCCUCGCCCGGCCCGCCUCCCCUCCCGUCGUCGAGAUCCCGCCGGAGCAGUUCGCACUGCGCGAGGACGGCGACCCCGACGACUGCCCCGGCUACCUCAUCGCACUGCGGGCGUCGCAGGCAGAAGCGGCGGCCGCGGCGGCGGCCGCGGAGGCGAGAGAGGCCGCCGAGCUGCAGGCCUCACUCGACGCCGCGGCAGCUAUGGCGGCGGCAGCAGAGGCCGCCGAGCUGCAGGCCGCACUAGAUGCGGCGGCGGCCAUCGAAGCGGUGCAGCCGCAGGUGGCUCCAGAGGAGGACGACGGCAGCUACUGGGACGACGGUGGCAAGAGCAGCGACGACGGCGACGGUGACGACGACGGUGACAUUGGUAUGGUCCUGCAGCCCGGCCGUGUUAGGGAAUGGCCACGUGGCAACCUAGCACUUCUGCAGUAUCUAUAUUGGGAGAAGGUGCAGCCAAGCACCGGUCUGCAGUAUGAUCCUUUAGCGCUGUUGAGCCCCUUGAUGAGGAAUUGGACAGAAGCGGCAGCGGAGAAAAGAGACAAGUACGACUUUCAAUAUGGUCGUGGUGUUGGGAUGAGGGUCAUAGAGAAAUUGAACAAAAGCGUCGUAUUCUACAAAGCCGGUGAUAUUGAAAAAGAAGAAGAGAAUGAGUAUGGUGAAAAUAGUGAAACUAGAAACUAUGGUGGAAAACCUCGUAAAGAAUUUGUAUACAAUCCUGACAUGGACAAUUUCAAAACACCAGGAAAAAAGAAUGUGCAAGAGGACGAUGAAGAUGAUAUUAAUGAUUCUGAAGAGAAGAGACCUUAUUAUUGCACACCUGAAUAUUGGGAUAGUUUCAAGGGUGAUAAAGAAGAUCCUAUCGAAGUUCCUGAGGUAUCUGAUGAGAAAUCCGUUACAUCUUUAGGAACAGAUGAAAUGGCAUCACGUGGAUCCGUAGAUUCUAUUGGAGAAGAUGAGGUAUAG